rnacentral:sRNA from 1 species
UGUCGAGUUCCCAAAAAGCUCCGCAGGGGCUGUGGGGAGGUUGAAGCAUAUGAAGAAAACACCAGCCUUGAACAGAUAUGUAGCAGGAAAAGCGAGGAUGUUACAAGCCUGCUGAAAGGCUCCUGGGGACAUCCAGGGGUCCUGAGACCACAGUUUGAGAAAGCUGGUUUUACCAUUUUUGGAUUGGUGGGCUGUUAGGUUGUUUAAAAUUUUACACUGUUACAACCCUUACAACAGUGAAAGUUCUUUGUGAUGUUUUCUGGUGUAUGCGUGCUAGUGUUUUUCUGUAAGUAGAAUUGCUAGGUCAUAGAGUUUUGCUUUUUUUUUUUGAGUUUGUUAAACACAUUACUUUUGAUGCCUGUAUAAUUUUCUUUUGUGCACUAAUGUUGGUGUUUAGAUUGUUUCAACUAAUAAUUUAGUGAAAUAUCUUUGCAUGUUUUUAGUUGUUUUGAAUUAUUUUCUUUUUGAGGUGGCUGGGGGGAGUCCAGUAAAAACCAGACAACUGCCAGAUACAUUCUAAGAGAGCUUUAACACAUGGAUUCUUUUCUAAAAUUUCUAAAAAGAUAAUUGUUAGAUCAAAUAUUAGGAAUCUUUUUCAGGCUAUUGAUACAUAUUGUCACAUUGUUUUCAUGGGAGAUAGUACCAGUUUAUUUCCUGUCAGCAGUGUCUGACAUGCUUUAAAAAAAAAAA